AUGGCAACAGCUAUUCGGUCUGCGGUUGGAAAGUUGGGGAGUAAAUAUUCUUCACGUUGUCAUAGCAAUGGAAGAAUAGUAGCAAACAUGGUUAGGGUUGGGGAUUUUCAAAUUAGGAGCGCAGUAGUCAACAACUACAAUAUUGAUCGUGAUGUCUUGUUUUCAACUUCAAAGCCUUCUUCUUCUUAUGGUUAUUCCUCUCGCCAUCCUUUUCUUUUUGGCAACUAUCACAAGAAACCUCCGCCUGUUCUUCAUCUGCAAUAUUGUUCCGAUUUUGAAGAGGUGGUACUAUUAACUUUUGCAUCUAAUUCUUAACAAUCUUUCACGGGUUUUUUGCAAAUUCUCAAAUUUAAAAAUGAUAUACAGUUUUUCCUGUAUGUGCGUAUUAAUUUUCUGUGCUUGUUGAACAGCCAUGUGGUGGAUUUACUCCAUGUCCCUGUUUUAUUGAUGAUCCUGAUACUAUAUCUCCUACCCGUUUCGCCGUGAAAGAGUAUAACAAGCAAAAGGUUUGA
rnacentral:lncRNA from 1 species